rnacentral:rRNA from 1 species
UACGAGGGGUGCAAGCGUUAUUCGGAAUUACUGGGCGUAAAGAACGCGUAGGCGGCUUGUUAAGUUGGUUGUAAAAUCCCUUGGCUUAACCAAGGGCUCGCGACCAAAACUGGCUCGCUAGAGACCAAGAGAGAGAAGUGGAAUUCUCGGAGUAGCGGUAAAAUGCGUAGAUCUCGAGAGGAACACCGAUGGCGAAGGCAGCUUCUUGGCUUGGUUCUGACGCUGAGGCGUGAAAGCGUGGGGAGCAAACAGG